rnacentral:rRNA from 1 species
GGCGAACGGGUGAGUAACACGUGGGUGAUCUGCCCUGCACUUCGGGAUAAGCCUGGGAAACUGGGUCUAAUACCGGAUAGGAUGAUGGUUUGGAUGCCAUUGUGGAAAGUUUUUCGGUGUGGGAUGAGCUCGCGGCCUAUCAGCUUGUUGGUGGGGUAAUGGCCUACCAAGGCGUCGACGGGUAGCCGGCCUGAGAGGGUGUACGGCCACAUUGGGACUGAGAUACGGCCCAG